rnacentral:rRNA from 1 species
CACUCCUGCGGGAGGCAGCAGUGGGGAAUUUUGGACAAUGGGCGAAAGCCUGAUCCAGCAAUGCCGCGUGUGUGAAGAAGGCCUUCGGGUUGUAAAGCACUUUUGUCCGGAAAGAAAUCCUUGGCUCUAAUACAGUCGGGGGAUGACGGUACCGGAAGAAUAAGCACCGGCUAACUACGUGCCAGCAGCCGCGGUAAUACGUAGGGUGCGAGCGUUAAUCGGAAUUACUGGGCGUAAAGCGUGCGCAGGCGGUUUGCUAAGACCGAUGUGAAAUCCCCGGGCUCAACCUGGGAACUGCAUUGGUGACUGGCAGGCUAGAGUAUGGCAGAGGGGGGUAGAAUUCCACGUGUAGCAGUGAAAUGCGUAGAGAUGUGGAGGAAUACCGAUGGCGAAGGCAGCCCCCUGGGCCAAUACUGACGCUCAUGCACGAAAGCGUGGGGAGCAAACAGGAUUAGAAACCCCAGUAGUCC